UGGCUGCCAUAGUAAGUAUGACGAAGCAUGCAAAAUAUCUAAAGAGGUACAGUAUGAUUUAGUUUGUUCAGGUUUUGUGCCUAAAGUGGAAAAGUCCAUGUGGAUCCCUUGUCAAGUUAUCGAGUAUCUUGGUGUUGUUUUGGAUUGUAAUAUGGGGAAAAUUUACAUUCCUGAAAAGCGUGUAUUUAAGAUUAAAAAAAAAACAAUUUUCAAAAUUGAGCAUUUUAUGAACCAGAAUUGCAGAAUAAAGGUAAGACGACUAGCAAGUUUAGUUGGACAAAUCAUAUCUAUGUCUGUUGUUAUCGGAAGUGUAGCCCAGUUAAUGACCAAAUGUCUUAGUAUUGACAUUGUGUCUGCUCCAACAUGGAAUAGCAUGAUUUUAAUUUCUGAGGAAAGUAAAAAACAGAUAAGUUUCUGGAAAUCGUCUUUAGAUAUGUUAAAUAGAAGGGAUAUGAAAGUUAAACCAAGUUCUAAUCUGGUAGUGUACACAGAUGCAAGUGAUACUGGUUAUGGCGGUUAUUGCGUACGGACAGGUAAAAAUGUUUCUCAUGGUUUAUGGGAAGAAUCUGAGAGAAUUAUGAGUUCCACAUGGAGAGAAUUGGCCGCGGUGGAUAGAGUUCUUCGGUCAUUUGUACAAUUUCUCAAAGGUGAGAAUAUAAAAUGGUUUACAGACAACGCAAAUGUUGUUUCCAUUGUUCAAAAAGGGAGUAUGAAAAAUAACUUGCAAGAUCUUGCAAUGAACAUUUUUCAAAUUUGUUUAGAAUAUAAGAUUGGUAUUGAAAUUGAAUGGAUACCAAGAGAACUCAAUGAGCAAGCAGAUUAUUUGAGCAGAAUUGUCGACUUUGAUGAUUGGGGUAUCGUAAAAACUGUUUUUGAUGACCUAUCACGGGAAUGGGGUCCGUAUGAUAUUGAUUUAUUUGCUUGUGAUUACAAUGCAAAGGUAGAUAAAUUUUGUUCCAGGUAUUGGAAUCCUUUUACGUAUGCAGUUGAUGCAUUUACUAUUAAUUGGACAGGUUUGAAUGCAUGGAUCGUACCGCCAUUUUAUCUUAUUCCAAGAGUUUUGGAGAAUUUGAAAGAAUGCAAAGGAUAUGGAACAUUAGUAGUUCCGCUAUGGGAAUCAUCAGCCUUUUGGCCAAUUUUAAUUUCUGAAGUUUACAGGUCAUAUAUUGUAGAUUGGAAGGAUCUUCCAGUAGCAAAGGAGUUUUACACACGUGGUAAACUCGGAUCUGGUAUUUUUGGUAAAGAAGAUAUAAAGUUUAGAAUGCUUGCAUUUGUUUUUGAUUUCAGAGUUUGAUUUCAAAAUUGUUUUUUGGCAGUUUUAAAUUCUUCAAAAUAAACAAAUUUAUUGAUUAAUUGGGAAUAAUUUCCCAUAAACUUGUAUGAGAAAUAUCAGGCAAUUUGCGCUAUGUUGUAAUAGAGAUAAAUAUUUUAUCACUAUGGAUUUACUGAAGUUUCUUUCACCACAUUUGUGGUUUGCCAUUUGGCAAGUUUGGUUUUUUAUCAAACUGAUAUCUUCAUUUCUGAAGAAAAUGUGCAGAAUAUCUUAAUUAAGCUGAUAUGUAGAUAUAAAUAUAUGUAUUUUUAUACAUAUCCGGUAGAUAAUUUCAAAGCGAAAAAAUAUUUAUUGGUGUUCCUUUACAAAUUUGUUUUUUCAGGUAUUUGAAAGAGAUUUGAUUCAGUUGCCUUCAAAGUUGCGUGAAAAGGUGUAUGCACUUACUGGGAUUAUGCAAGCGUCACGAGCGGAUUCAACUAUAAACAAAUAUUGUAACAGUUUCCUGAGAUUUAAGAAGUGGGCAAAAGAACAAGGAAUCGAGGAAAGUGAAUUAUUUCCUUCAAAACCUUUACAUGUAUCUAUUUAUUUAGCAUGCUUGGUUCAACGGGCAAACUCUCCAUCCCCUAUUGUUGACGCAUUCUAUGGAAUCAAAUGGGCUCAUGAUCUUGUGGGAUUCAAUUCUCCGACUGACAAUCAGUUUGUUAAAAACAUUAUGGAAGGUGGGAAACGUAUAGUGGCAAAACCUGUUCAAAAGAAAGAACCAAUAACUGUUGAAAAUUUACGUUCUGGGAUUCAAGACGAUUCAGAGGAAUAUGUAUUUUGUGCUAUUUCGAAAUCGGGAAGUGGUUACCGGUUGCGUAAUCGUGAAAAGCCUCUGUCUUACACCAGGGUUCGUGAAUUAUUCAUCGAAGCAUUUACAGGAAUUGUAGAUAACAUCAAAGUUUAUGGACUUCACAGUUUGCGGUCAGGUGGAGCGACUGCGUCGGCAGUGAGGGGAAGUCCGGACAGGAUAUUCAAGAGACAUGGACGUUGGCGUUCGGAAUCUGCUAAGGAUGGAUAUGUCCAGGAUCCGCUUAGUGAACGUUUAAGUGUUUCCAAAGAACUUGGUUUAUAAUAGUUGUAAUCAUGUUGUUUAUUGAUUAUAUUGUAUUUUUUUGUAUUGAUUUUUCUGAAUAUAUAUGAAGUUGGA